CCUACGGGAGGCAGCAGUCGAGAAUCAUUCACAAUGGGGGAAACCCUGAUGGUGCGACGCCGCGUGGGGGAAUGAAGGUCUUCGGAUUGUAACCCCCUGUCAUGUGGGAGCAAAUUAAAAAGAUAGUACCACAAGAGGAAGCGACGGCUAACUCUGUGCCAGCAGCCGAGGUAAUACAGAGGUCUCAAGCGUUGUUCGGAAUCACUGGGCGUAAGGCGUGCGUAGGCUGUUUCGUAAGUCGUGUGUGAAAGUCGCGGGCUCAACCCGCGGACGGCACAUGAUACUGCGGGACUAGAGUAAUGGAGAGGGAAGCGGAAUGCCGGGUGUAGCAGUGAAAUGCGUAGAUAUCGGGAGGAACACUCGUGGCGAAGGCGGCUUCCUGGACAAUAACUGACGCUGAGGCACGAAGGCCAGGGGAGCAAAAAGGAUUAGAUACCCUUGUAGUC
rnacentral:rRNA from 1 species